rnacentral:piRNA from 1 species
UGAUAGUCACACAGACAGGCCUUCAUGA